GGCCCGGCGGGGGCGGCGAGCGCGCGUCCCCCCGCCCGCUCAGGCAGCGUCGAGGCGCGAGCAGCUCAGCCAGCCUUGCAGAGGGAGCUCUCGGCAGCUCUGGGGUCUCUCUGCUCGCAGCCGCAGCAGCGCCGCCUGCGCCACUCGGCGGAGACGGAGACCAGAGGCGGCGGCGCGCGGACUGGGAGCGACCGCAGAGCAGCCGAGCGGCAGGGGUACGCUCGCAGAGCGGCCGGGCUUUGAAUACAUGGAGAAGAAGAGUGGGAGACAGGAAAAAAGGUAAGAUUAGAAGACGAAAGGGGGGAGAAAGGGGAAGCGCUGAUGACCACCAACACAAUAAACUAUCCUGGACUACC